UUUUUUUUUUUCUUUUUUGCUCUUUAGGACCACACUCGUGGCAUCUGGAGGUUCCUAGGCUAGGGGUCAAAUGGGAACUGUAGCUGCCAGCCUACACUACAGCCACAGCAAUGCAGGAUCAUUAACCCACCGAGCAAGGCCAGGGAUCAAACCUAUGUCCUCAUGGAUACUAGUCAGGUUCAUUACCACUGAGCUACAAUGGGAACUCCAGGAAAGCAGGUUUUGUCUUGGUUUUCUUUACCAUCACUCUGCUAUCAUUGCUUACUCCAAAUCGACUGUUUAAAUGUACUGUUAAGUAGCACUACAGAAACUGGACCUGGACCUGAAAGAAGCUGAAAUGAUACCAAAUCUUUGCAUUUACUCUCAGAACAAACAUGUACAUAUGUGUUAGGGACAAGUUAUCUAACCAAGGGGUUAUCUGAAUUAAAUUCCACAUUCAAUACAAUGUUUAUUAAGUCAUUAAAAUGUGCUAGUUUGAAGCUUACAGAGAUAUAAAAAUUUUUCUUGUCUUUUCAGGGCCACACCCAUGGCAUAUGGAGGUUCCCAGGCUAGGGGCUGAAUCAGAGCUACAGCUGCCGGCCUACACCACAGACACAGCAAUGCCAGAUCUGAGCUUCCUCUGUGACCUACACCACGGCUCACAGCAACACCAGAUCCUUAACCCACUGAGUGAGGCCAAGGAUCAAACCGGCAACCUCAUGGCUCCUAGUCAGAUUUGUUUCCAUUGCUCCACGAUAGGAACUCUAUUGCAGAGAUAUUAAAAUGCUACAGUAACUACAGGAUUAUUACAGAACUUAGACCAAUAGAAGGAUUUUAGAGAGAAAAAGUAAUAUUAACAGAUAAUGUUUACAAUGGCUGGUGCAUGGUGAUAGCCAGACUGAGUGAAACUGAUUUUAAGUGCUUUUCUGCAGAAAAACUCUUCCCUUAUUGUCAACAGCCUGGCCAGGUGAGGGGGAAGAGGAGUGAUGACCAUUGCCCACCCUCAAGAUGCCACUGAAACUGAAAAGGCCCAAAGGGACAGAAUCAAGGCCAACGAGGAACAAGUGCAGAGCAGGAGAGAGGUGAACAAAAGCAAACAGAUAAAUCCAUGAGAGUGCCGAAAUGAGAAGUCACCUUCCAGUUCAAAAAGCAACACACUUAAAAUGUCAACCGGCUGCUGGAAUGCUUAAAAAUUCUAGAAACAGAGCACAGGUUUUAAGACAUCAGAAUUCUGGGUCUAGAAUAUUGUGCCUAGUCUGGAGCUUUCCCACUAAGAAACAGCCAUGACCUGAACUUCGAAGUUGCAACUGACCAACCAGACAGUGUAUGAGAUUCUACGGAAAGUAUUUUUUAACUUCUAUUUUUCAUCUUGGAAAGAUUUUUGAUGACAUGCUCUGCAAAUGAGAUCCUCUACCACAGAUAAGUGUCUUACCUAAAUUGUGACAAGUGUCAAAGAUGGGACACUUCGUUUCACUUCGAAGACAAAGCUGACAAUUUAGAGGCAGUGAAAACUUUGGAUUGGCUGAAUACUGCAUAAUCUCUCCUUGUCUCUAUUACAGGUGGACAGGCUGGAUUUUCCCUCUAAGCUUCCUGAGCGACACCACAGGAAAGUGAAGAGAGAAAGGCACCCCACAAACUGGAAGGGAUCAAUAAACAAACCGGUGGACCUAGAGCAGGCUGUUUAACCUCCCAUAUCUCCUUAGCUUUCUUAUCUAUCAAACAGAUGAGGUUGUUGCAGGAAUUACAGAUAACGCACACAAGGCUCCAGCCCUAGUGCUGAACAAAGAGAAAGCAAUUAGCAAACGGUUCUCAUCACCUUCAUUAACUUCAAACCAAAUGACACAAAGAGGUCUUUCUAUAGCUGAUGAAAAUCUCACCCAAUGCACCCUGUGAUAGGGCCCUCAAAUGCUACAGGGGCUGCUUGGAUGGUUGGAUAAACCUCAUAAAAGCUUCCUUUCUCCAGCUGUGCAAAGACAUGAACACAGCAGUUCUAUCAAAGGCCUAUGACAAUCACACACUUAGCUAAUUAUUAAGAGACGUCCCCAACUUCUGCGGUAGGAAUACUAUGUACCCUGCCCCCCGCCACCUGCCGAGAUCCAGAAGUGAGACUAUCUUUUUCCAACUGUGUGAAACACAGUUCAUUCCCAGGAAGUAACCACAUGUCAAGUCUCCAGGGUAGGGUUGGUGGCCUAGUGGUUAAGGAUUCAGCACUGUCACUGCUGUGGCCCAGGUUCAAUCCCUGGCCCAGAAACUUCCACAUGCCACGGGUGCAUCCAAAAAAUAAAUAAAUAAAAGACUCUAGGGUAGGAGUUCCCGUCGUGGCACAGUGGUUAAUGAAUCCAACUAGGAACCAUGAGGUUGCGGGUUGGAUCCCUGGCCUUGCUGUGGUGUGGGUUGCAGACGCGGCUCCGAUCCUGCGUUGCUAUGGCUCUGGUGUGGGCUGGUGGCUACAACUCCUAUUGGACCCCUAGCCUGGGAACCUCCAUGUGCCGCGGCAGUGGCCCAAGAAAUGGCAAAAAAGACAAAAAAAAAAAAAAAAAAAAAAAAAAAGACUUUAGGGUAACCAGUAUAUACAUAGGCCGAAUCAUUUCUAGUAUGAAGACUCAAACGACAGCAGUAACACAACUUUACAACUGAGCAUGACUCCCAAGCGGAAUGAGAUGAGAGCAAAAAUCUCUUUUGCCCAUGCUUGCCUUUUUCUUAUGACCACCAAUCCAAGAGAGAUGGGCGUUUUUGUUACAGGCUUUUAAGGAUCAGAAGAGACCAAUACUUGGUGCCCCUGAAAAGUUCUUAAUGAAAGAGUGAGACAAACAUUUACAAGCCAUUUAAGCAUACAUAGUCCCACCAAUAUAUGAGAGAAGUACUUCCAAAGCCUCUUUCGGUGGGAGUUUAUUUCUUCUGAAAGGAGGACUGUGGUCUAAUAAAAUGCCUCACUAAUGCUUUUUCUCAAGUGGCUUUAUACUCUAGCUACACCAUAGAAGAAAGGAAAACAGUGCUUUUUAAGAGGUUUUUGUUUGUGUUUUAUUUUUUGCAACCUCUAGUACAGAACCAGGGGUUCCUACAAGGACAUGCAACUCAUCAGCCCUUUUCUUACACCGCAGGCCUCUUUGAGACCUUCCUCCCCUAAUCUGAGUUGGCUCUACAUUUUCCUCCCAUGUCACCAAAUGCAGAGGUGCUAAAUUAACCAAAAGAGGCAGGACUGGUAGAGUACCAGUAGAUCACAUGCACUGCUUUUCCACAUGUACAUUCACCGAGUUAUGCCAUAAAUAACUUUUUGCAAACAGAGCUAUAAUUUUUUCAGAUUUUGGUUUUAUAUGUGUAUAUUAUGCAAACUUUCCAAAGUAUCUCCAUCUAUAAUUUUCAUUUGAUUGCCAAACUAUCAGUUUUAUCUAGAGGGCUGGUAACAUCCCCAUUCAUAGAAGGGAAACCCAGAAGUGCCAAACACUCUAUCAAAGUUCAACUAGGUUUGUACAUCCGAUCUCAAGUUUAAUUUUGAGACUAAGUGGGAACACUUGCACUUUACCCAAAAGUGGCAUGUUAAUAAAUCCUUAACUAGGGUGACAGAAUUAUUUUUUUAAGUUUUUUCUAAUGUCAAUAGCACAGAGGAAAGUUUCACUUUGACCUCUGCUGGCUGAAGUUUUCUUUGGCACUAAAAUACCAAACUCUGCCAGACUGAUAGGUAAAUGGCAUUCUGAUGCAAGGCAUGUAAAAUAUACUUAAUAAGGCUGUUGAACUUUCUUAGGGACUUUUCAUAUGGUACAUGCAACUGUUUAAAUAUUGCUCAGAGAGUCACCAAAGGUAAUGGAUGAGGAAACCAAGGACGGGGGUGUGAAUCUUGCUUAUGGACUUGUGUCUUGAUCCCUGCCUGAUCCCUGCAAGAGGUCUGCAGAGAAGAAUGCAAGGAAGAGAGCUGGGAUGAGGGGCGGGAGCCCAGGCCCAGCUCACCCCGCUCCUUGCCACUUUGCAUACCGUAGUGCUAGUGCCCAAGACCCGUUCUUCAUCACAUGUGCAUCUCACCUUAAUCACAGGGCGCUUUCAACAUCUGCAUUGCUGCAUUACAACAACACAACAUUUAUUGGUAACAUUUCUGAAACUGAUUAGUUUGCCAUUACAUGCUCUUCUUUUUCUACACAAAGUUCUUAUUCCUAAAUAAAAGUGUACAAAUGUGAAAAACUAACUUCCUCAGCAUAGUUAAAACCUUAGACUAAUGUGCCAGAAGGACUGUCUGUGAUGGCAUAAAUGAUAACCCCGGCUACACGCUUUCUUCAAAUCUAUGUACAGUCUUGAGUGUUACAUGGGCUCAUAGUUACAUGUUAUGGGCUCAGUGUUACAUGUGAACAUAGAUGCUUCUAAUGUCCAGUGAUUUAAGGCUCACUAUCCCACAUCACAAGAAAGUGAAGACUUCUGGUGGAAGAAACCAAAGCCUUUUUUAUUUAAAAGAUGUUACCUGAGUUCCCGUCGUGGCUCAGUGGUUAACGAAUCCAACUAGGAACCAUGAGGUUGCAGGUUCAAUCCCUGGCCUCGCUCAGUGGGUUAAGGAUCCAGCGUUGCUGUGAGCUGUGGUGUAGGUUGCAGCCACAGCUUGGAUCCCGCAUUGCUGUAGCUCUGGUGUAGGCUGGCAGCUAUGGCUCCGAUUAGACUCCUAGCCUGGGAACCUCCAUAUGCCAUGGGAGGGGCCCUAGAAAAGACAAAAAGACAAAAUAAAUAAAUAAAAGACGUUACCUCUGUACACUUAAACUUAUAACUAAUUCCAUAUUUAGCAAAGAAAACAAAUGGAUUUAAAUCAUAGACUUAUCCAGUCAGCAAAACACAAAAAUAACACAAAAAAUAUAAGGCAGACUAUAGAAUCAAAAGCUGUGGCUGGGAGUUCCCAUUGCGGCUCAGCAGGUUAGGAACCUGACAUAGUAUCCAUGAGGAUGCGCAUUCGCCCAGUGGGUUAAGGAUCCCGAGCUGCUGAGGCUGUGGCAUAGGCCAGCAGCUGCAGCUCUGAUUCGACCCCUAGCCUGGGAACUUCCAUAUGCCGCACCUACUGUUAAUGUUUUAUAAGCCCAAAUUUGAAAGGGUUGUUUUUUUUUUUUUUACUAGCAACAAUUAUGCCAGUUCAAUAAAAAUUUUCAAGCAAGUGCAAGAGUUUGCAAUAUAAUUAUGACAUCUGAAAGAUAUUCCAAUUAUAUUUAUGAACUAAGUAGACAGAUUUUUAUUAAAGUGUCUAUUUCUUAAAUUCACUUCUGUUUUUAUAAUAUCACUGAAGCAGGUACAUAUUUAUAAUAUAGAUUAUGUUUAGGAAACUAUAAAAACCACCCCCAAACCCACAGAGACUGGAUAAUACUUUGAUUUCCAUUAUACCAGAGAGCACCUGGCUCCCACAUCACAACAUACUCAUUUGCUUGCACACUGACUUAGCAGCACUGAGAGCCCCUCAAAAGCUACCUCCAAGCCUCUAUCUCUAAGCCACCCGCACCCAUCUAUGGCUGCCUAACAGUAAUUACUAGCCAAACUCAACUCAAUGAAGGCUCAAAACUCUAACAGAACUCUCCAUUUCCCUGAUGUAGAGAAGCUCUGUAAAGAACUCCUGGAUAAAGGUUUGGAGCCCCUUUACCCAGCAAGUAAAAUCCCAGACAGAAUAAUGUCCAAUCUCCAAAUCCCCAGUACAAUAACGUAUAUUUAUCUUGAACUUCUGAGAUGUGGAUGUCAUGUCUUUAAAAUGCCAUCUUUAGGGGAGUUCCUGUUGUGGCUCAGUGGUUAACGAAUCUGACUGGGAACCAUGAGGUUUUGGGUGCGAUCCCUGGCAUCGCUCAGUGGGGCUCUGAUUAGACCCCUAGCCUGGGAACUCCAUAUGCCACAGGUGAGGGCGGCCCUAGAAAAGACAAUAAAUAAAUUUUUAAAAUGCCACCUUUUUAUGAGCACAAGUUUGUUUUCUUAAAUACUCCUAGUCAGGAGCAACAUUAAAUGCUAGAGGUUGUAGAAAUUCGCUAUACUUUCUGAAAAAAGAAGUAGGCGAUUUCACUUGCCUGAUGUCACAAGUUUAAGACAAAGGGAGGGAGGUGAGGAAAGAGCAGGGAGUCGGGGAGAGAAGGAGUGAGAACUACUGUACGAGGGUUCUUUCAGUUAAAAAUUUGCAUUUAUCAAAAAUGCCAUGAAUCUCAGUGCCAUAUUCAUUCGCCCCUGGACCUAAAUGCACUGAGGUACAUUAAGCUCCAUCCGCUCAAAUGAAAUUAAUACCCAUUUUCAGUCAUCUUUGAAUUCAAUUAAAAAUAAUUACUAGAUUAUUACUGGCUGAUUCCACCUCACUGCUCAUGAAGUAUUCAGACAACAUUAACAUGAGCUGUCAUCACAAGGAAAUCUCAGGGUAUGAGCAAUCAUUUCUCCCUGUAAAGAUGCAACCCUGAAGAAGCUUCUUCAAAUCCAACUUCCUGAACAAUCCAGGUGCUGCCAGUCAAGUGUCAGAAAGCGCUCUGGGAACCAAGCACUAGACUAGUGACCCAAGGGAGGCCUAAGACACCAUCCUUACCUCCAGAGAAACA
rnacentral:tRNA from 1 species